rnacentral:rRNA from 1 species
ACACUCCUACGGGAGGCAGCAGUGGGGAAUAUUGGACAAUGGGCGCAAGCCUGAUCCAGCCAUGCCGCGUGAGUGAUGAAGGCCCUAGGGUUGUAAAGCUCUUUCACCGGUGAAGAUAAUGACGGUAACCGGAGAAGAAGCCCCGGCUAACUUCGUGCCAGCAGCCGCGGUAAUACGAAGGGGGCUAGCGUUGUUCGGAUUUACUGGGCGUAAAGCGCACGUAGGCGGACUAUUAAGUCAGGGGUGAAAUCCCGGGGCUCAACCCCGGAACUGCCUUUGAUACUGGUAGUCUUGAGUUCGAGAGAGGUGAGUGGAAUUCCGAGUGUAGAGGUGAAAUUCGUAGAUAUUCGGAGGAACACCAGUGGCGAAGGCGGCUCACUGGCUCGAUACUGAAGCUGAGGUGCGAAAGCGUGGGGAGCAAACAGGAUUAGAUACCCUUGUAGUCCC